rnacentral:lncRNA from 1 species
UCCCUGGUUCGAACCCAGGUAGGGGCGAGGAGAGGGAUGGAAGAAACACUGCUACAGAGGCACUAGGCAGGUUUGCUCCCUCUCCUUUUUAACAUUUAGAGCCUCUUGCGACAAUGAUAAGAGCAGAUCCAGGAUUUAAUAUGAAGAUGUGCUCACCAAAGGAUGUAGGAGGCUUGGCUUUACCAGAUGUUAAAUUUAUCAUUUGAAAUGGCUGAAUUGGCAAAGCAUUGGGGCAAAAGGGAUGCUGGCUUGGAUUGGAUAACAAUAGAAUGGGAACCAAAUGAUCCUUUCACCCCUGUUGAUACUCUGUUACAUAGUCUUACAGGGGAGAGGUCUGUUGAUACUCUGUUACAUAGUCUAACAGGGGAGAGGUCUGUUGAUAAUCUGUUACAUAGUCUAACAGGGGAGAGGUCUGUUGAUAAUCUGUUACAUAGUCUAACAGGGGAGAGGUCUGUUGAUAAUCUGUUACAUAGUCUAACAGGGGAGAGGUCUGUUGAUAAUCUGUUACAUAGUCUAACAGGGGAGAGGUCUGUUGAAACUCUGUCUCAUAGUCUUACAGGGGAGAGGUCUGUUGAUACUCUGUCUCAUAGUCUAACAGAGGAGAGGUCAGUUGAAACUCUGUCUCAUAGUCUUACAGGGGAGAGGUCUGUCUCAUAGUCUUACAGGGGAGAGGUCUGUUGAUACUCUGUCAGUCUAACAGGGGAGAGGUCUGUUGAUCAUCUGUUACAUAGUCUAACAGGGGAGAGGUCUGUUGAUAAUCUGUUACAUAAUCUAACAGGGGAGAGGUCUGUCUCAUAGUCUUACAGGGGAGAGGUCUGUUGAUAAUCUGUCUCAUAGUCUAACAGGGGAGAGGUCUGUUGAUAAUCUGUUACAUAGUCUAACAGGGGAGAGGUCUGUUGAUAAUCUGUUACAUAGUCUAACAGGGGAGAGGUCUGUUGAAACUCCCAACCCAAUUUUGUUACACUCAGGAGGUGUGGAGAACAGUACACAAGAUAUGUGGAAUUUCACAUCUAAAACAAGGAUACUCAUCAUGUGGCACAAUCCUAGUCCACGGAUAGGAAAGAAGUCUGUGUACUGGAAACAGUGGCUAAUGAAAGGAAUUCAUACUAUAGGUGAUCUGUACAAUCAAGAUGUUUUAAUGUCAUACUCAGAUCUGGUACAAAAAAUAUGGUGUGGGAGACAAGGGACAUUUCUGGAAAUAUUUAGAAUUAAGAGAAUGUUUGUUAACUGGCUGUCCACAACAUCCAGGAAAGAUCCCAGUAGCAGAGUAUUUGGAAUUACCCAAACGUAAAGCAGCCAUUUUCUACUCAAUAUUUAGUCAUCUGCAGAGUAAAGACUGUAAAAACCUCUGAACAAUAUGGCAAAAUGACCUUAAGUGUGAAAUUGAGGAUGAUACCUGGUUGAAGAUCUUGUCCAGCUCAGGGAGGAACAUAAGGGAAGCCAGGGGGAAACUUACUCAAUAUAAGAUACUACAUAGGUUUUAUUGAAGCCCAACAAGGCCUCAUGAGAUGUGACUGACCAACAGUUCUCUGUGUUGGAAAUGCCAAAAAGACACUGGGACAUUUUUACACGCAAUAUGGGAAUGUACAUUAGUGCUACCUUUCUGGAAGGAUGUUUUGAAAUAUCUGGAGGAAAGGUUGGAAAAGUUAGAACAGUUACCUAAUGUAACAAAUGAGGAAUUUGCACUGAUCACUGUUGGUAUGGUUACAGCAGCUAAAGUCAUCCUUAGAAUUUGGAAGGGUCAUGCCACUCCUACUCUGAAACAGUGGAUAGAAUCAAUGUUGGAGGUAGCGUCUUAUGAACGAAUGCUUGCUAGAAUCCCUGGUAUAAAUGACAAUACUAGAAGCUGGACGCGUUUUAUUUGUCAUGGUGUUUAUAAAGACUGGGAGGUGAUGACUUAGGUUUGUGAACCCAUUUAGUUUUGUACUGUAGCUUGUGAACCCAUUUAGAUCUGUACUGUAGCUUGUGAACCCAUUUAGAUCUGUACUGUAGCUUGUGAACCCAUUUAGAUCUGUACUGUAGCUUGUGAACCCAUUUAGUUUUGUACUGUAGCUUGUGAACCCAUUUAGUUUUGUACUGUAGCUUGUGAACCCAUUUAGAUCUGUACUGUAGCUUGUGAACCCAUUUAGAUCUGUACUGUAGCUUGUGUGUCUGCUAUGUUGGAGAAUAUGUCUUAAUGUCAAGCUCAAUGUUUUUAUGCUGUACAAUGUUUUAUUUAAAAAAAUGUUUGUUUGUUUGUAGGAAAAAGGAAAAAAUAAAUACAACUUUAAUAACAAAAAACCCCAGAAAUAUCACAUUUGCAUAAGUAUUCAGACCCUUUACUCAGUACUUUGUUGAACAACCUGUGUCAGCUUUUACAGCAUUGAGUCUUCUUGGGUAUGAUGCUACAAGCUUGUCACACCUGUAUUUGGGGAGUUUCUCCAAUUCUUCUCUGCAGAUCCUCUCAAGCUCUGUCAGGUUGGAUGGGGAGCGUUGCUGCACAGCUAUUAUCAGGUCUCUCCAGAGAUGUUCGAUCGGGUUCAAGUCCAGGCUCUGGCUGGGCCACACAAGGACAUUGAGACUUGUCCCGAAGCCAUUCCUGCAUUGUCUUGGCUGUGUGCCUAGGGUCAUUGUCCUGUUGGAAGGUGAACCUUUGCCCCAGUCUGAGAUCCUGAGUGCUCUGGAGCAGGUUUUCAUCAAGGAUCUCUCUGUACUUUGCUCCGUCAUCUUGGCCUCAAUCCUGACUAGUCUCCCAGUCCCUGAAAAACAUCCCCAAAGCAUGAUGCUGCCACCACCAUGCUUCACCGUAGGGAUGAAGCCAGGUUUCCUCCAGACGUGAUGCUUGGCAUUCAGGACAAAGAGUUCAAUCUUGGUUUCAUCACACCUGAGAAUCUUGUUUCUCAUGGUCUCAGUCUUUAGGUGCCAAGCGGGUUGUCAUUCUGUUUGGCCACUCU